rnacentral:rRNA from 1 species
GCGAUUCCCCGAGUAGUGGCGAACGAAAGGGGAACAGCCCAGCGCAUAACCUCCCGGGCUACCAAGCCUGCGGCGGAAUGUUGCGUUAAGGGAAAGGUCGUUAAUAAGCCCUGCACUAUAUGGCCUAAGUUUGGCUUGAAUUUCUCACUGUAUCCUAACGGCUACAACGGCUCCACAGAGGGUGUCAGACCCGUGAGGCCAUGUGAUUAAAUGUGCGUGGGUUCGGCUUUAUUCCCUGAGAGUCGCGUUGCUUGAGCAUGCAGCGCUAAGCAGGUCGUAAACUCGACCUAAGGCUAAAUAUAUUCACAGAACCGAUAGUAAACAAGUACCGUGAGGGAAAGUUGAAAAGUACUCUGAAGAGAGAGUCAAAAGACCGUGAAACCGCUUAGAGUAUAAGCCAAUGGUUUUCUGGAAUGCUGGAGCUCCCCUUGCAAAAUGGUUCCCGAUUGUGGGGUACGUCCUAAGGGUAUCGUGUGUGCGAGAGAACAUGAAGACUGAUGGGCAAUCGAACCGAAAAGUGGCAUUGAGUUGAUACCACGGCAACCAAAUCUCGCGGGUCUCUGACAGUGGUAACAGGGAACGUUCUAAUGAGGAACUGAACCGAGGCUGGGCUUCAGCGAGCAUCAGUUUCUAAGCACAAUAACGAUCGGCUUUCUAGACAGCACACCACAAUCCUUUAUAAGGUCUCCCUCGUGAGGCGGGGUAGAAAAAAGAUUUAUCUUUUAUCUCUCGAGCGGGUCGUGUCGCGUUAUUGCCCUCUAGUGGCACGCUUUGGCAGCGUGUACCUACCCUUUCUUGUAUGGGGUAGGAUAUGCUAGAGGGUCGGCCGAUUUUGCACCUUGCCGUUCCAGACACGAGUGGAAUGAUCCUAUGUGAAGAUUGAUUCUGACCAUCCAAUACCCGCGAGACUUGCUUCACCGGCUUGUCGAGUAAAUUGCACGAUUGACCUUUCGCGCCUCUCUUGCUUUAAGCUUAAUGGUGGGUCUUUAAUGGAUGAUGGGAGUGCAUUGGCCUUCUCGUCCUUAGAGACUUGCUAAAGGGUUGUCGGAGGGCAGUGAGCGAGAGCUUUCGUUGUGGUAAAGGAUGUUUGGUGCAUUAUUCCAGAGCCAUCGGUCACGUCUCGAAACACGGGCCAAGGAGCAUAGCAUGUGCGCAAGUCUAAGGGAUAAGAAAUCCUGGAGGCGAAGUGAAAGCAAAUGGUGUGUUUACGAGUGUGUUCGCACGCGCGUAUUCAGUCUGCGAAAAGCGCAAUUCCUAUCGACCCCUUCGGGGGUUAGUGGAUGAAUGCGUCUCGCUGCUUAAACUGGGUUGAUCCUGUUGUAAUCAAGCCUCACUGGCGAUACGUGGGCGCAAACCCCAGGCUCUCUCACUUACGAGGGUAUUCGCGUAUCCUUGAGAGAGCACUGCAGAGCGUGCAUGUUAUAACCCGAAAGAUAGUGAACUAUGCCUGGCGAGGAUGAAGCCCCUGGAAACAGGGG